GAAAAAUGAAGGCGAUGGCCAUGCUUGCAUUGCUAACGUCCGGUCCAGAGGAGUAGGCGGCCUAUGAUAUGUGAGACUGCUCAGGGAGGACACACCAAGGGCAAGAUCUGCGCAAGAUCAUUUUCACUGUUCUGUACACAGCAGACAAUUGUCACAAGACUUCAAGGUUUGAAAUAUUUCAUUUAAGAAAAGUUGAAUUCAACAUGGACUCUAAAUUGAAGAAAUCUACCAUCAGGAAGAUAAAAGAAGAGAACUCAUGAAGAACAAUAACAUAAGUUUGAAGGUACCAGG